rnacentral:rRNA from 1 species
GAAUCCUGGCUCAGGAUGAACGCUAGCUACAGGCUUAACACAUGCAAGUCGAGGGGCAGCAUGGUCUUAGCUUGCUAAGGCCGAUGGCGACCGGCGCACGGGUGAGUAACACGUAUCCAACCUGCCGUCUACUCUUGGACAGCCUUCUGAAAGGAAGAUUAAUACAAGAUGGCAUCAUGAGUCCACAUGUUCACAUGAUUAAAGGUAUUCCGGUAGACGAUGGGG